UCAGGUUUGGUUUUCAUGAUGGGCAGAAUUCAGAAAACAUGGAAAGAAACUAAGAUGUUGAAGAAUUAAAAGUAUACUAAAAUAGUUUAGGACAAGCUAUGAAGAUUCACACAGUCUUUCUCUACCUGGCACAAGGUUACCCAGCUUCUGGGAUUUAGUUACAGCCACAAAACAAACAAACUACCAUACCCUGGCAGAGGAUGCUGCUGGGGCUGCCCAGCCUGUGGCUUUCACGACAGUUGCUCGCAGAUGGCCUGUUACUGAGUGCCCUGGCAUGCUGCAGAUCCGAGACAUUUACAAGAGAUGGGGCAGGCGCUCAAACACCCGUGACAUGACUUCCUGCCUUUUUAUUGCGCGAGUGUCACUUACCAAGGCUCCCUGCAUCUUGCCUCUUCUCGAUCCUGAGGCCUGGCUCCCACCCUGGAUUCAGCAGGCUGACGUGCUUCAGUGGUCCAGCUGGGCCCUGUCUUCUCAGACUGUAUUAUGACAGGGAGGAGAGUGCUAACACAGCCCUGGGUCGGCAUGAUUGGAGAGGAAGAAAGUGAGUUUGCCUGGGAACAGAUGGCUGGACUCGCUGUCAUCACAACCCUGCUUCCUUAAUGAAGGUCCGCCCCGCUGAGGAUGGCAUUAACAUACCACGAAGGCAGCGCGCUGGGGCAC